rnacentral:rRNA from 1 species
CCUACGGGGGGCUGCAGUGGGGAAUAUUGGACAAUGGGGGGAACCCUGAUCCAGCCAUGCCGCGUGUGUGAAGAAGGCCCUCGGGUUGUAAAGCACUUUCAGUGAGGAAGAACGCCUGGUGGUUAAUACCCAUCAGGAAAGACAUCACUCACAGAAGAAGCACCGGCUAACUCCGUGCCAGCAGCCGCGGUAAUACGGAGGGUGCGAGCGUUAAUCGGAAUUACUGGGCGUAAAGCGCGCGUAGGUGGCUUGAUAAGCCGGUUGUGAAAGCCCCGGGCUCAACCUGGGAACGGCAUCCGGAGCUGUCAAGCUAGAGUGCAGGAGAGGAAGGUAGAAUUCCCGGUGUAGCGGUGAAAUGCGUAGAGAUCGGGAGGAAUACCAGUGGCGAAGGCGGCCUUCUGGACUGACACUGACACUGAGGUGCGAAAGCGUGGGUAGCAAACAGGAUUAGAUACCCUAGUAGUC